rnacentral:rRNA from 1 species
CCUACGGGCGGCAGCAGUGAGGAAUAUUGGUCAAUGGGCGGAAGCCUGAACCAGCCAAGUCGCGUGAGGGAUUAAGGCCCUGCGGGUCGUAAACCUCUUUUGCCGGGGAGCAGAGGUCCGGACGUGUCCGGGCCGGGAGAGUACCCGGACAAAAAGCAUCGGCCAACUCCGUGCCAGCAGCCGCGGUAAUACGGAGGAUGCGAGCGUUAUCCGGUGUUAUUGGGUUUAAAGGGUGCGUAGGCGGGCAUUUAAGCCGGCGGUCAAAUGUCGGGGCUCAACCCCGGCCUGCCGUCGGAACUGGGUGCCUUGAGUGGGCGAGAAGAAGGCGGAAUGCGUGGUGUAGCGGUGAAAUGCAUAGAUAUCACGCAGAACCCCGAUUGCGAAGGCAGCCUUCCGGCGCCCUACUGACGCUGAGGCACGAAAGUGCGGGGAUCGAACAGGAUUAGAUACCCUUGUAGUC